rnacentral:rRNA from 1 species
ACGCGAAAGGUUCCUUCGGGAACCGAGUAGAGUGGCGCACGGGUGAGUAACACGUAGGUAAUUUGCCUUUGGGUGGGGAAUAACUCAGGGAAACUUGAGCUAAUACCGCAUAAUGCAGCGGCUCGACAUCGAGACAGUUGUUAAAGCGGGGGAUUCGCAAGAACCUCGCGCCUGAAGAGAAGCCUGCGGCAGAUUAGCUAGUUGGCAGGGUAAUGGCCUACCAAGGCGACGAUCUGUAACCGGCCUGAGAGGGCGGUCGGUCACACUGACACUGACAUACGGGUCAGACUCCUACGGGAGGCAGCAGUCGGGAAUUUUGGGCAAUGGGCGAAAGCCUGACCCAGCAACGCCGCGUGAAGGAUGAAAUUUUUCGGAAUGUAAACUUCGCAAGAACAGGAAGAAUAAGUGGGGGACAAUACCCCCCAUGAUGACGGUACUGUUUGUAAGCUCCGGCUAACUCCGUGCCAGCAGCCGCGGUAAUACGGGGGGAGCAAGCGUUGUUCGGAUUUACUGGGCGUAAAGGGCGCGUAGGCGGCGUGACAAGUCACUUGUGAAAUCUCCGGGCUUAACUCGGAACGGUCAAGUGAUACUGUCGUGCUAGAGUACAGAAGGGGCAACUGGAAUUCUCGGUGUAGCGGUGAAAUGCGUAGAUAUCGAGAGGAACACCUGCGGCGAAGGCGGGUUGCUGGGCUGAUACUGACGCUGAAGCGCGAAAGCCAGGGGAGCGAACGGGAUUAGAUACCCCGGUAGUCCUGGCCU